GACGAACGCUGGCGGCGUGCUUAACACAUGCAAGUCGAACGAAGAGCGAUGGAAGCUUGCUUCUAUCAAUCUUAGUGGCGAACGGGUGAGUAACGCGUAAUCAACCUGCCCUUCAGAGGGGGACAACAGUUGGAAACGACUGCUAAUACCGCAUACGAUCUAAACUCGGCAUCGCGGAUAGAUGAAAGGUGGCCUCUACAGGUAAGCUAUCACUGAAGGAGGGGAUUGCGUCUGAUUAGCUAGUUGGAGGGGUAACGGCCCACCAAGGCGAUGAUCAGUAGCCGGUCUGAGAGGAUGAACGGCCACAUUGGGACUGAGACACGGCCCAGACUCCUACGGGAGGCAGCAGUGGGGAAUCUUCCGCAAUGGACGAAAGUCUGACGGAGCAACGCCGCGUGAGUGAUGACGGCCUUCGGGUUGUAAAGCUCUGUUAAUCGGGACGAAAGGCCUUCUUGCGAAUAGUGAGAAGGAUUGACGGUACCGGAAUAGAAAGCCACGGCUAACUACGUG
rnacentral:rRNA from 1 species